CAAGAGGAAAAUGAACUUCUGUUAAAAUGUUAUGUGGAAGUAUUUAGGAAAGUGCAAAUGUUGCAUAAAUGAACAAAUUCCUGAAAUAAUUCACAAUUUUUACCCUUGUCAGUUAUGGGAUCUUCAUAUAUGCCUCUGAGGCUGAACCCUGUGGAAAUCCCUGAUGAAGCCCGAAACACAUGUCUUCCCUCUCUGGUACUGGCACCUUGGUGAAGGCACAUAAUUUAACAGUUUGUAAUAGUUGAAGCCACAUGUCUCUAUGGACUGGAAUAUUGUCGAAACAGCUUCACUCAAGUGAGGAGACUUUUAACUGUAUAAUUCAGGUAUGUAUAUUUUCUUUGAACGAAGUGUGUGACAUUCAGCUUGUCAAAACUGAACAUUUUGCUUGACUGAACAGCUUUGCUCUGUGUUUUGCUUGUCUACCGAGGCAAGUAAAGGCUGACAAGAAGGGCAUUUCCAGCUAGUUAAAUACCAAGAAGGGAAGGAAGCAGGA